rnacentral:rRNA from 1 species
UUGGACGCUGGCGGAAUGCUUUACACAUGCAAGUCGAGCGGCAGCGCGGGGCAACCUGGCGGCGAGCGGCGAACGGGUGAGUAAUAUAUCGGAACGUACCCUGUCGUGGGGGAUAACACAUCGAAAGAUGUGCUAAUACCGCAUACGACCUGAGGGUGAAAGCGGGGGAUCGCAAGACCUCGCGCGAUAGGAGCGGCCGAUAUCGGAUUAGCUAGUUGGUGAGGUAAAGGCUCACCAAGGCGACGAUCCGUAGCUGGUCUGAGAGGACGACCAGCCACACUGGAACUGAGACACGGUCCAGACUCCUACGGGAGGCAGCAGUGGGGAAUUUUGGACAAUGGGGGAAACCCUGAUCCAGCCAUUCCGCGUGCAGGAUGAAGGCCUUCGGGUUGUAAACUGCUUUUGUACGGAACGAAAAGGCUCUGGUGAAUACCUGGGGCUCAUGACGGUACCGUAAGAAUAAGCACCGGCUAACUACGU